AGAUUCUGGCACUGAAUUUUUCUCUAACCUAAGGGGAAGAUGAUUAAGCCCAGGUUCAACCUGAAAUCCACUGAUGGAGACUGGCAGAGAAGUCAGAUGAACAAAGAAAGCGCAUUUUCCUCAUGUAUCAUGACCAGAGUAAUGCAGUCUAUUCUGCUGGAGCUGUAUCAGAGCAAUGUGAUGGAAUUCAUCUUCCACCCAGUGCCCAGGGUUGUGCUCAGUGAUGUCUUUUUUGUCAUCUCCCCAGAGAGGUCUGUCACAGCCCCUAUCCAGCAGAGGAAUGGCUUCCUACAACAAACAGUUCCAGAGCCAAGUGCCGCAAGAGGAGGAAUGAACACAAGAAAAGACGGUCCAACCAAAAAGAGGUUGUCUGGAGUUGGGUAAAAACAUAACCUGGU
rnacentral:lncRNA from 1 species